rnacentral:rRNA from 1 species
GAGGGGCCCCUCUCGGGUUACCGAAUUCAGACAAACUCCGAAUGCCAAUUAAUUUAACUUGGGAGUCAGAACAUGGGUGAUAAGGUCCGUGUUCGAAAGGGAAACAGCCCAGACCACCAGCUAAGGUCCCAAAAUAUAUGUUAAGUGGAAAAGGAUGUGGCGUUGCCCAGACAACUAGGAUGUUGGCUUAGAAGCAGCCAUCAUUUAAAGAGUGCGUAAUAGCUCACUAGUCGAGUGACACUGCGCCGAAAAUGUACCGGGGCUAAACAUAUUACCGAAGCUGUGGAUUGUCCUUUGGACAAUGGUAGGAGAGCGUUCUAAGGGCGUUGAAGCAUGAUCGCAAGGACAUGUGGAGCGCUUAGAAGUGAGAAUGCCGGUGUGAGUAGCGAAAGACGGGUGAGAAUCCCGUCCACCGAUUGACUAAGGUUUCCAGAGGAAGGCUCGUCCGCUCUGGGUUAGUCGGGUCCUAAGCUGAGGCCGACAGGCGUAGGCGAUGGAUAACAGGUUGAUAUUCCUGUACCACCUAUAAUCGUUUUAAUCGAUGGGGGGACGCAGUAGGAUAGGCGAAGCGUACGAUUGGAUUGUACGUCUAAGCAGUGAGAUUGAGUGUUAGGCAAAUCCGGCACUCUUAAGAUUGAGCUGUGAUGGGGAGAGGAAAUUGUUUCCUCGAGUCGUUGAUUUCACACUGCCGAGAAAAGCCUCUAGAUAGAGAUUAGGUGCCCGUACCGCAAACCGACACAGGUA